rnacentral:rRNA from 1 species
ACGGAAGGCAGCAGUGGGGAAUUUUGCGCAAUGGGGGAAGCCCUGACGCAGCAACGCCGCGUGCGGGAUGAAGGCCCUCGGGUUGUAAACCGCUUUCAGCAGGGAAGAACAUGACUGUACCUGCAGAAGAAGCUCCGGCUAACUACGUGCCAGCAGCCGCGGUAAUACGUAGGGAGCGAGCGUUAUCCGGAUUCAUUGGGCGUAAAGCGCGCGUAGGCGGCUCGCAAAGCGGGAUCUCAAAACUGAGGGCUCAACCCCCAGCCGGAUCCCGAACUUGCGGGCUCGAGUUCGGUAGAGGAAGAUGGAAUUCCCAGUGUAGCGGUGAAAUGCGCAGAUAUUGGGAAGAACACCGAUGGCGAAGGCAGUCUUCUGGGCCGCAACUGACGCUGAGGUGCGAAAGCUAGGGGAGCGAACAGGAUUAGAUACCCUGGUA